ensembl:lncRNA
UGUGGACUCGAUAGCGGAGGAGUCUCCCGUUUAGAUACGUAGUUGAGCAAUAGACUUUUUAAUCUCGAGGGAGAUGGAUUUGUUUUUGUCAGACUCUCGACAUGGCAUUAGUCUGUUUGAACUGCUUUGAAGGCAUUCCACCGGUGCAGUUUGUUGCAUUCUCUUGGUCUUUUUGGACCACCUACUUUCCAGAUUUUUGUACAAAAGACUUGUGAACGUGAAAGACAGAGCGGUUUCAGAUUUUCCUUCAUCCUUGCCAAGAAUAUGCCUUGACGAAAAGUAUACUAGUUUUCAAAGUAUGUACAUCCAUUCCAAAAGUUAUCCAGUAUCGCGACGCCACCCAGUGGUUUGGUUGGUUUGUGCAGUUUGAAGCUCUCUCGUUUGGCUUGUUGGGAAAUCACUGCUGAUGGUUGAAUAUAUCUAUUUCGUUUUUUUUUUUUCUUUUUCUUUUUUUUUUUCGCUGAUACGAGUGAUUACAUAGCAGUGCUUAACUGGCUAUGAACUAUUUAACUUAUUUAUUUUAUCUUGUGAAAAGUAUAGGCUACAUUGUUAAUUGUCCAUACUGUAUUUAUCGAGUAUGAUGAAGCAAUAGAUCUAUAUUCUUUUAUUAUGUUUAAAUUAUGAUCGCCAUUAUUAAUCUACAUAAAGUGGAGUCUGAAAAGUCUUUGGUCUGGCCUUAUUGGCUCUCUCCGCCAGAGGCCUAUAAUGAAUCAGUCGGAAAGAGGAUUCCACAGUGUUUUUCUCCGGUUCGGAUAAACACAUGUUUUUUCCAUUCACCCUCUCAAGGAAGCACCAAGCUUGUGAGUAACUUGACCUGCAUUUCAAAGACGCUGUUCAUCAUAUUGUAGUCGGCUGUCAGUUGGCUUGGAAAAUAUGGCUAAACUUCCUCGGGCAACCUCAGAGCUAUUGAAGAGAUAACAAGAGGGGAGAUUGUUUGGAGCAAUAAAUCCUGACAUGAUAAUAAAUGGUAAUCAAGUGAGCAACUUUUCAGAAUCUCUUGUGCCAACAGCCACAGAUGUUUGUUGAUGUCUGUCUCGAUUCUUUCAUCGGUGUUACAUGAGGACAUGGCUUUGUGAACAUGAAUUGUGCCUGACGUUCUCAGUGCCGAUGGCUAUUAAGUUAUGCAAUGUGUGCAUGCCAAAAUGGUCUGAUUAAUGAGGAAAGUUCUGCAGUGCUGCAGUCUGCGUUAACCUUUUUACAGUUAUGUUCAAGAAUGGCUAUGCACAGUGGGGUUUUCUUCAGUGUUCGAAUGUAUUUGGACCUAACAUAGAAAUGUAAUCGAUAUAUGAAGAGUUCAGAUUCAAAAGCCUCUAAAUUUUCUUCUAAAAUGAGCAUUUUUCUCAGGCUCCUAUGUGUAGGUUCAGUAGUUUCACUUUAAUGGCAGUGAAUGUGUUCUUUUCAUUUUCAUUAACACCAAAUAACUGAACAUAAACAUAGGAGCCUGAGAAAAAUGCUCAUUUUAGAAGAAAAUUUCACCUUGAGGCUUUUGCAUCUAAAGUCUUCUUAUAUAUACAUUUAAACAUAAACUUAAAUCUUAAAUUAUUUAGGUAUACUCAGCUUCAGAAAUAUUAAAAUCUUUACAAAUCCUUUAUUGAUAGUUAUUAAAAGUAUGUAUAUGUAUAUAGUUCCUUUUUACUACUGUCACAUGCAAACAAAAUAAAAACAUAAAUGGUUAAGAAAUGACAGAAGUUUCAUUCAUUUUUAUCAUUUAAAGUUUAGUGUUACAAAGUGUGAAUUCUUUGAAAUGUGGUGUUACGAACAUCAUAAAUCAAAUGAGUUAAACAUGUUAAAUAAAUAUGAUGGAAUUAAAACCAUUGGAUUUUACUCAUUGAUUAAAUUAAUUAAAAUUAAUCAAUUUAUUCCAUCAGUUCAAUAUUCAAUGAACUUAAAAGGAUUAAGUCUGUAUUAGAAGGUAUUUUUUUUUUUUUCACUAAACCAUAUAAUGCCAUUAACAUUAUAUGGUUUAGUCUUGGGUAAAGUGAGGGAAUUUAAAAAACGAAUUAAAACUAAAUAGAAAUAUUAAAAAAUGAAGAGUAAUAAAACAAAUGACAAAAAUAUAACAAAAUUUCUUAAACUAAAUAUCACAAUUAAAAACUGAAAAUAUAACAAGUAAAGCUAAAUCAAAAACUGAAUAAACACUAUAAUAGUAUAUAAAUAAUACUAAAAUAAUAUUAAACUAGACAUGUUACAUUAAUUGCCCUGUUAUAUAUAUAUAUAUAUAUAUAUAUAUAUAUAUAUAUAUAUAUAUAUAUAUAUAUAUAUAUAUAUAUAUAUAUAUAUAUAUAUAUUAAAAUCAUAAAAGUCCAGAUGUGUUGAAACUUGCUUUCCACAGAGAUCCAUAUAUUCUAAGGACGCAUGCCAAAAUGUGUGCAAUUAUAUUCAAAGUAACAUUUUAUUUUGCAUUUUCUUGUGACACAUUGUAUUUUAAUA